UUUAUAGCCUCUGGCUAUAGGAAAUUGUUAGUGGCAGACGGGCGAGUAAUGCGUAGGAAUCUACCUAGUAGUACGGAAUAGCCAUUAGAAAUGGUGGGUAAUACUGUAUAAUCCCCGAGGGGGAAAGAUUUAUCGCUAUUAGAUGAGCCUACGUUAGAUUAGCUAGUUGGUGAGGUAAUGGCUUACCAAGGCUAUGAUCUAUAGCUGGUCUGAGAGGACGAUCAGCCACACUGGAACUGAGAUACGGUCCAGACUCCUACGGGAGGCAGCAGUGGGGAAUAUUGGACAAUGGGCGAAAGCCUGAUCCAGCUAUGCCGCGUGAGUGAGGAAGGCCUUCGGGUUGUAAAACUCUUUCAAUAGGGAAGAUAAUGACGGUACCUAUAGAAGAAGUCCCGGCAAACUCUGUGCCAGCAGCCGCGGUAAUACGGAGGGGGCAAGCGUUGUUCGGAAUUAUUGGGCGUAAAGGGCACGUAGGUGGACUAGUAAGUUAAAAGUG
rnacentral:rRNA from 1 species